CAGCUAAUAGUUUAAUAAAAAUUUAAUUUUUGGGGAAUUAUGAUGUAAGUAAUUUUACUUUGCUGA
rnacentral:tRNA from 1 species